AAGGGAUUGCACAAUGAAUGUGAUUGCUCAAAACAUACAGAAUUUGAUUACAGUCAAUCCAAGUUAAGAUAGUCUAAUGAAUAUUGUUCCUUUUCACAUGUAAUUUACAUAUCUAUCUGAAAUAUCAUGUCUUGUAUCUAGGUAAUAAGGUUUUGAUUUUGUACAUGCAGGUCUUUCUGGAAAUAUUGCAUGUAAUGUCUAUAUAGCCAUAUGUGACUCAUUACACCCCAUCUAGUGACGAAUUUGAACUUGACCGCUACUUACUACCUCUAGCUAGGCAUAUUGGUCACCAUGUCUUUAGUGCCUGGUCCAUCCAUCUUCAUCGUCAUGCAUGGCAGCCAAAGGAGAAAAUAAAUCCAAACAGGCAUCAGGACUAACAAUGCAAAUGCAAAGGAAGAUGACAUUUUCCUCAGUGGAGUGCAAUUGGGUUCUGGUGUUGUCAUACGUAGGUUAGGUACUAGCUACACACAAAUUCUCAUGUUCCACACUUGUUCAGAAGUUAGUUAAUUAGGUGGGUUAUCAUAGUGUAUAGAGUUGAUGAAGAAAUCCCUUCAUAUCUUGUUUAUUUUUCUAUUGGUUUGUAUUUCAUUUCCAAAUCUGAUGAAAAAUAAACCUUUUGUGCUAGUAAAAAAUGCAGUUUGACUUAUAGAAGUAUGGUAAUGAAUUAACUCUAGAUGAAAAAUACAUUAAUCCAUUGACCCCUUUGAAGCCUCUAUUGCAUGACCAAUCAUGACCUCAGAUAAUUAAAAAAAUGACACAUCGAGACUAUCUAUUUAUAAUAUCAGGGCAACAAAUGAAUGUUAUAUCCAACUUAGGGCUAGAAACUUGUGAUAUCUGCUUCGUGCCUUAAAUAGGUGAAGAAACCAUGCAUGCAUUUGUUGAACUAAGUGCUUGGUAUUGCUUCUCAUGCCUAAUCUGCAUGGAUGAACAUGAAACAUCAUUCAUGUGAACAUGAAACAUCAUUUGUGUGCAUCUGAUCUACAGAAACUCAUCCUAUGAACAUUGAGGUUGAUAGCUAUAUAAAACAGUUUAUAGUUGAGACAACAUUGAGGCUGAUAGCUAUAUAAAAGAUUUUAUAGUUGAGACCAAAUAUGGGGAUAACAUUGUUAAGAUAGAAAAUUGAGAUGUUUGAGGAAACUAAGAAGAAUGUAGCAAAUUACAAGGCAAGCUUUGCAUUGUAUUGGUCUGCACAUAUUUUUCAUAGAUUCUUUCGCCAUUUACUAUCGAAGAAUCUGACCCUUCUAAAGUGAGUUUUGUUGCUAAGAUGGAAAUGAAAAAUUUUGACAAUCAUUGUUGAGCAAGUUCAUGAUGAUAGAACUAUUCAUGUUUGUUUGUGUUCUAUUUGAGUCAUAGUUUUAGUUUUGUUUAAUUUAAAGUGGUUGAUGUAACAUGCCCAUUAUAUGUUGUCUUAUCAUUGAACUUGAAUUUGAUUACAAACAAGGUGUCACGAAA
rnacentral:lncRNA from 1 species